UACGAAGGGGGCUAGCGUUGCUCGGAAUCACUGGGCGUAAAGGGUGCGUAGGCGGGUCUUUAAGUCAGGGGUGAAAUCCUGGAGCUCAACUCCAGAACUGCCUUUGAUACUGAGGAUCUUGAGUUCGGGAGAGGUGAGUGGAACUGCGAGUGUAGAGGUGAAAAUUCGUAGAUAUUCGCAAGAACACCAGUGGCGAAGGCGGCUCACUGGCCCGAUACUGACGCUGAGGCACGAAGGUCAGGGGAGCAAACGGGG
rnacentral:rRNA from 1 species